rnacentral:rRNA from 1 species
UACGAAGGGGGCUAGCGUUGCUCGGAAUCACUGGGCGUAAAGGGUGCGUAGGCGGGUCUUUAAGUCAGGGGUGAAAUCCUGGAGCUCAACUCCAGAACUGCCUUUGAUACUGAAGAUCUUGAGUUCGGGAGAGGUGAGUGGAACUGCGAGUGUAGAGGUGAAAUUCGUAGAUAUUCGCAAGAACACCAGUGGCGAAGGCGGCUCACUGGCCCGAUACUGACGUCUGGCGCGAAAGCGUGGGGAGCAAACAGGG